AAAGGGCAGCUCAGAGGCUACUCACUCAGAUGCAGCCACAGAGAGGAGGGGAGAGUUGCUCCAGAGAAAAGGGCAGCCCCAGAUGCUUGUUUGGAGAGAAAGGACCACUGAAAGGUUCUACUUACGGAGGAGUACUUUACAUUCAUCUCAGAUGACUGGAGCACAUAUCAGGAAGACCCAGGAAAGUGCUGACCUUCCCGUUCUUGUGGCUCUUAUCAGACUAGAUGCUCACCCUCUCCGCACACAGGACCAUCUUGAGGGGGGCAUCCCAUGUAAGCAAAAUGUGGAAAAGCCAGUGACCAUCAACAAAACAAAACAUCAAAGCCAACUAAUAAAGGGAGAAAGACAAUAUUUGGGAGAACGAGGAGCACAAUGGAUGUUUGGGGAUGUGAAGAGAGAAGAAAUGGAGAAGGAAGCCUACCUCUCUCCCUUUCUGGGGCAUCAGUGUCUUCUCUGGUCUUUUAAGCAAGUGAAAGGAUGUUGUCCAACCAAAGUACCAUUUACAAAUACAAUAUUCUCUUUAUGGCAACGCUCUAAAUGCCGGCCCCAGUGUUUUGAUCCUCAAAUGGAAGUGUGACCGUUGUGCGAGAGGAACUCUUACAGGAGUAACUACAGUGGACGGCUUUACAUUGGGGAUGAUGGGAUUCCUGCACCUGAACCUCGCAUCCCCUGAUACAACAGGCACUCGCUGGGUGCUGAAUUAUGGCCGUGCCACCUGUGAAGCGGGGACUUGGUGAGCGAGAGCCCGAGGGUGUAUGUAUUUCACUUACUCGGAGCUGUCAGGUCUUAUCAACCUUUCGUUAGAAAUAUUUUUUUCUCCCUGAAAACUCAUAAAAAUUCAUGUUGUAAUAUCAAUGCCUGCAGGAUCCUGUAGAAUUUUGUUGAGCUGCUCAUCCCCUUUUCUCCUAAUAGAUAUAUCAUCCCCUUCACAUACAGGGAUACAGAUGUGUGCUUGCGAAUCUGUAUUGGAGGCUUGUGGAUAUGCCAAAGUAGGUUUGCCAAGGGAAAGGAAAUAAACUAAUUUUUCCCCCCACUGGUUUAAUGUGGCU
rnacentral:lncRNA from 1 species